GACAGAGGAUGCAAGCGUUAUCCGGAAUGAUUGGGCGUAAAGCGUCUGUAGGUGGCUUCUUAAGUCCGCUGUCAAAUCCCAGGGCUUAACCCUGGCCAGGCGGUGGAGACUACUAAGCUUGAGUACGGUAGGGGCAGAGGGAAUUUCCGGUGGAGCGGUGAAAUGCGUAGAGAUCGGAAAGAACACCAAGGGCGAAGGCACUCUGCUGGGCCGACACUGACACUGAGAGACGAGAGCUAGGGGAGCAAGUGGG
rnacentral:rRNA from 1 species